UUCUGCUUCUGUUUAUUGUUUAUAUAUGGGCCAUUCUACAGAAUUUGUGCAAAGUCCAGAGUUGGAAACAUAUUUUAAAAAGAUGUUUUUUUCCAAAAACCUCGUCCAUACAUAUAUUGCACCAUAUUUCUAUGGUACAUAUCUAGUAAAGGUGCAGUCAAAUUUCAUAUAUUAAUGUCUGUCUGUUCUUGAAAUGUUUUUCCACUCCUGAAAGGUGUCACUACCGUAACAUAGAAACACACUGCAAUAAAAAUCAUUAUAUUAAUCUGUUAAU